rnacentral:rRNA from 1 species
GUGGGGAAUAUUGGACAAUGGGGGGAACCCUGAUCCAGCCAUGCCGCGUGUGUGAAGAAGGCCUUUUGGUUGUAAAGCACUUUAAGCGAGGAGGAGGCUACCGAGAUUAAUACUCUUGGAUAGUGGACGUUACUCGCAGAAUAAGCACCGGCUAACUCUGUGCCAGCAGCCGCGGUAAUACAGAGGGUGCAAGCGUUAAUCGGAUUUACUGGGCGUAAAGCGCGCGUAGGUGGCCAAUUAAGUCAAAUGUGAAAUUCCCGAGCUUAACUUGGGAAUUGCAUUCGAUACUGGUUGGCUAGAGUAUGGGAGAGGAUGGUAGAAUUCCAGGUGUAGCGGUGAAAUGCGUAGAGAUCUGGAGGAAUACCGAUGGCGAAGGCAGCCAUCUGGCCUAAUACUGACACUGAGGUGCGAAAGCAUGGGGAGCAAACAGGAUUAGAUACCCUAGUAGUCC